UACGUAGGUGGCAAGCGUUGUCCGGAAUCAUUGGGCGUAAAGAGCGUGUAGGCGGCUCGGUAAGUCCGCUGUAAAAGUCCAGGGCUCAACCCUGGAAAGCCGGUGGAAACUGUCGAGCUAGAGUCCGGAAGAGGCGAGUGGAAUUCCUGGUGUAGCGGUGAAAUGCGCAGAUAUCAGGAGGAACACCAAUGGCGAAGGCAGCUCGCUGGGACGGUACUGACGCUGAGACGCGAAAGCGUGGGGAGCAAACAGG
rnacentral:rRNA from 1 species